rnacentral:rRNA from 1 species
UAGGGAAUCUUCCGCAAUGGACGCAAGUCUGACGGAGCAACGCCGCGUGUGUGAAGAAGGUUUUCGGAUCGUAAAGCACUGUUAUUAGAGAAGAACAGCCGAUAGAGUAACUGUUAUCGGUUUGACGGUAUCUAACCAGAAAGUGACGGCUAACUACGUGCCAGCAGCCGCGGUAAUACGUAGGUCACAAGCGUUGUCCGGAUUUAUUGGGCGUAAAGGGAGCGCAGGCGGUUUGUUAAGUCUGAUGUGAAAGCCCACGGCUCAACCGUGGAACGGCAUUGGAAACUGGCAAACUUGAGUAUAGAAGAGGAAAGUGGAAUUCCAUGUGUAGCGGUGAAAUGCGUAGAUAUAUGGAGGAACACCAGUGGCGAAGGCGACUUUCUGGUCUAUAACUGACGCUGAGGCUCGAAAGCGUGGGGAGCGAACAGG